rnacentral:snRNA from 1 species
AAACCCAUAAAAUAAUAAAUCUUAAUUAAUUAUAUAAGCAAAAGGUCUUUGCCAAACGAAAGACUUUACACCUCUAAACUAAUCAAACAAAAUACUCUCUUCUCUGAACAU